AUUGAACGCUGGCGGCAUGCCUUACACAUGCAAGUCGAACGGUAACGGGCCUUCGGGUGCCGACGAGUGGCGAACGGGUGAGUAAUGUAUCGGAACGUACCUUUCAGUGGGGGAUAACGUAGCGAAAGUUACGCUAAUACCGCAUAUUCUGUGCGCAGGAGAGCAGGGGAUCGCAAGACCUUGCGCUGAUUGAGCGGCCGAUAUCAGAUUAGCUAGUUGGUGAGGUAAAGGCUCACCAAGGCGACGAUCUGUAGCGGGUCUGAGAGGAUGAUCCGCCACACUGGAACUGAGACACGGUCCAGACUCCUACGGGAGGCAGCAGUGGGGAAUUUUGGACAAUGGGGGAAACCCUGACGCAGCAACGCCGCGUGAGUGAUGAAGGCUUUCGGGUCGUAAAGCUCUGUCAAGUGGGAAGAACCUGCUUUGUGAUAAUACCACGAAGCACUGACGGCACCACUGAAGGAAGCACCGGCUAACUCCGUGCCAGCCGCCGCCGUAAAAC
rnacentral:rRNA from 1 species